AUGGAUGGAAAUCUGAUCCAGCCAUGCCGCGUGAAGGAAGAAUGUCCUAUGGAUUGUAAACUUCUUUUGUAUUGGGAGCAAUAAGGUCUUCGUGAAGACUGAUGAGAGUACCAUACGAAUAAGCAUCGGCUAACUCCGUGCCAGCAGCCGCGGUAAUACGGAGGAUGCGAGCGUUAUCCGGAUUUAUUGGGUUUAAAGGGUGCGUAGGCUGUUAUAUAAGUCAGUGGUGAAAUAUUCGGGCUCAACCGGGAUACUGCCAUUGAUACUGUAUAGCUGGAAUAUGGUUGCUGUGAGUGGAAUGUGUGGUGUAGCGGUGAAAUGCAUAGAGAUCACACAGAAUAUCGAUUGCGAAGGCAACUCACAAAGCCAUUAUUGACGCUGAUGCACGAAAGUGUGGGGAUCAAACAGGAUUAGAUACCCUGGUAGUCCACACUGUAAACGAUGAUAACUAGCUGUCGGCGAUACACAGUCGGUGGCCAAGCGAAAGCGAUAAGUUAUCCACCUGGGGAGUACGACCGCAAGGUUGAAACUCAAAGGAAUUGACGGGGGCCCGCACAAGCGGAGGAACAUGUU
rnacentral:rRNA from 1 species